rnacentral:rRNA from 1 species
CAGUAGCCACGGGAAUACGAAGGGGGCUAGCGUUGCUCGGAAUGACUGGGCGUAAAGGGCGCGUAGGCGGUUUUGACAGUCAGAUGUGAAAUUCCUGGGCUUAACCUGGGGGCUGCAUUUGAGACGUCAAGACUAGAGUGUGAGAGAGGGUUGUGGAAUUCCCAGUGUAGAGGUGAAAUUCGUAGAUAUUGGGAAGAACACCAGUGGCGAAGGCGGCUUACUGGCUCAUACUGGACGCUGAGGUGCGAAAGCGUGGGGAGCAAACAGGAUUAGAGACCCCAGUAGUCCCUGUCUCUUAUAC